AUCCGGGUUGCGGACAGUGUCUGGUGGGUAGUUUGACUGGGGCGGUCUCCUCCUAAAGAGUAACGGAGGAGCACGAAGGUUGGCUAAUCCUGGUCGGACAUCAGGAGGUUAGUGCAAUGGCAUAAGCCAGCUUGACUGCGAGCGUGACGGCGCGAGCAGGUGCGAAAGCAGGUCAUAGUGAUCCGGUGGUUCUGAAUGGAAGGGCCAUCGCUCAACGGAUAAAAGGUACUCCGGGGAUAACAGGCUGAUACCGCCCAAGAGUUCAUAUCGACGGCGGUGUUUGGCACCUCGAUGUCGGCUCAUCACAUCCUGGGGCUGAAGUAGGUCCCAAGGGUAUGGCUGUUCGCCAUUUAAAGUGGUACGCGAGCUGGGUUUAGAACGUCGUGAGACAGUUCGGUCCCUAUCUGCCGUGGGCGCUGGAGAACUGAGGGGGGCUGCUCCUAGUACGAGAGGACCGGAGUGGACGCAUCACUGGUGUUCGGGUUGUCAUGCCAAUGGCACUGCCCGGUAGCUAAAUGCGGAAGAGAUAAGUGCUGAAAGCAUCUAAGCACGAAACUUGCCCCGAGAUGAGUUCUC
rnacentral:rRNA from 1 species